GGUGUUUGGGGGGUGGGGGGAGGGGGGCAUGAGAAGAAGUCAUGGGGCAUGCUAGCAUCUGGACCAUACGACAAAAAUAAAAAUAAAGCAGUAUAUUAGUGCAAAGUGAUCCUUUCUGUCUUAACCAUGCUUUUUUAAAAAUCUCGUGUGUGUGUGUGUGUGUAUGUGUGUGUGUAUGUGUGUGUGUGUGUGUGUGUGUGUGUGUUUGUGUGUGUGUGUGUGUCUGUCUCUGUGUCUCUGUGUAUAUAUUCAGUAUCACACCCAGGAUUUUGUGCAUCUUAAGCAAGGGCUCUACUACUGAGCUACAUCCCAGCCCUUCCCUGUGUGCCCCAGCCCCUGCACAGCCCCCUGCCUCUGUGUGCCCCCCCCUUUUACUAUUAUUUUUCAGAAAUGAUCUCAGGUAGCUUAGCUUGCCUUGAAUUGCUGAGUGGCUCUUGAACUUCUGAUCCUCCUGCCUUUGACUCUCAAGUGCUGAAAUUACAGAUCUUUUCUUAGCAAUGGGUGGAUUUUCCCAAGGUGAUAAGAGGAGGAGAUAAGUAUAUGAGGAGAUAAGUGUACCCCACACAUUGUUGACAAAGGAUAAAACAUCAGACAGGUAGCAGACUGUAGGUGAAGGGCGUGACCACACUGAUAUUUAGUGAACUUUGGCAGGACUGGGAGCUAGUUCAGUAGACUGAGUAGUAGAAUGAAGACUGGGAUUUGAACCCUAGAAUUCAAGCAGAGAAUCUGGGUCCAGUUCCCAGCCACCCAUACGAUGGCUCCCAGCCAUUUGUCAACUCAAGGCCAUCAAGAGACCCUGUCUCAAAACAAGGUGGGCAGUUCUGGUCUACAUUCAUGUGCACAGGCAUGUAUAGACAAACACAAAGAGGAAAAAGUUGCCUCUCAUAUCAGCUGGGUAUGUUGGCACACAUAUUCCCAGUAUUUGGGAGAUGAAUGCAGGAAGUACAAAGGUUCAAGGCCAGCCUCAGCUACUUGAAAUCCGCCUCAAAAUAAAUAAAUAAAUAAAUAAAUAAAUAAAUAAAUAAAAAUAAAACUGGCUCUUUGUGCCAGAAUAUCCCUGAGAGGUAUUUUCCUACCGCCCCCAGGCUCCCUUAGCCACUGUGUUUUGCAUAAGCGGAGUAAUAGGCUCUUACUCCAAGACUUGGCCUUACACCCACACUGCGCACCUGUUUGCUUAGCAUCAGUUGUCCCUUACUCUGCUCUUGUAGGUUUCUUAAGUUCUUUUGAGAGUACUUUCUUAAAACAAACAACAAAAUGGCAGAUAUACAAAUCUCCCCAACAAGAUCAGACUUGCAGGCAGCUCUCAGCACCUGUCUUCUGUUGACAUCCUAGACUUAGCAUUGCUGUUACAGGAAUCACGUUCCGGAGGCAGGAAUUAGCAGAAGGAAACCCACAGUCUGAGUCAUGGAGAGGGAGGGGAAAGUGAAAGCUUCCAGUUUCUUUUCAUUGUUUCCUUUAGCUAUGUUAAGCUCUGUGGUGUCAGAGAGUAAAACAAAGUCACGAGAUCCAGGAGAGCGAUCAGAGCUGAGCUAACCCUCUCCUGAGGGGUGGCUGGCAAGUCCUUCCUUAGGCCACUCUCAGCCAGGGCGUUCGAUGUCCUGCAGGAAUUUAAAUUCAUUCUCUCCCUACCUCCUCCACCUUCCUUCCUUCCUUCCUUCCUUCCUUCCUUCCUUCCUUCCUUCCUUCCUUCCUUCCUUCCUCCCUCUCUCUCUCUCUCUCUCUCUCUCUCUCUCUCUCUCUCUUUCUUUCUUUCACCAAAAACAUCUUUAUUUUUUUAGUCUUUAAAAAAACAAGACAACCGGGGCCUAGCAAACACAGAAGUGGAUGCUCACAGUCAGCUAUUGGAUGGAUCACAGGGC
rnacentral:lncRNA from 1 species